AUAGGGCGUUUAGUAUUUGGUCGUAGACCCGAAACCAGGUGAUCUACCCUUGGUCAGGUUGAAGUUCAGGUAACACUGAAUGGAGGACCGAACCGACUUACGUUGAAAAGUGAGCGGAUGAACUGAGGGUAGCGGAGAAAUUCCAAUCGAACCUGGAGAUAGCUGGUUCUCUCCGAAAUAGCUUUAGGGCUAGCCUCAAGUGAUGAUUAUUGGAGGUAGAGCACUGUUUGGACGAGGGGCCCCUCUCGGGUUACCGAAUUCAGACAAACUCCGAAUGCCAAUUAAUUUAACUUGGGAGUCAGAACAUGGGUGAUAAGGUCCGUGUUCGAAAGGGAAACAGCCCAGACCACCAGCUAAGGUCCCAAAAUAUAUGUUAAGUGGAAAAGGAUGUGGCGUUGCCCAGACAACUAGGAUGUUGGCUUAGAAGCAGCCAUCAUUUAAAGAGUGCGUAAUAGCUCACUAGUCGAGUGACACUGCGCCGAAAAUGUACCGGGGCUAAACAUAUUACCGAAGCUGUGGAUUGUCCUUUGGACAAUGGUAGGAGAGCGUUCUAAGGGCGUUGAAGCAUGAUCGUAAGGACAUGUGGAGCGCUUAGAAGUGAGAAUGCCGGUGUGAGUAGCGAAAGACGGGUGAGAAUCCCGUCCACCGAUUGACUAAGGUUUCCAGAGGAAGGCUCGUCCGCUCUGGGUUAGUCGGGUCCUAAGCUGAGGCCGACAGGCGUAGGCGAUGGAUAACAGGUUGAUAUUCCUGUACCACCUAUAAUCGUUUUAAUCGAUGGGGGGACGCAGUAGGAUAGGCGAAGCGUGCGAUUGGAUUGCACGUCUAAGCAGUAAGGCUGAGUAUUAGGCAAAUCCGGUACUCGUUAAGGCUGAGC
rnacentral:rRNA from 1 species